rnacentral:rRNA from 1 species
UACGUAGGUGGCAAGCGUUGUCCGGAUUUAUUGGGUUUAAAGGGUGCGUAGGCGGCUUGAUAAGUCAGUGGUGAAAGCCGAUCGCUCAACGAUCGAACUGCCAUUGAUACUACCAGGCUUGAGUAUAGAUGAGGUAGGCGGAAUUGACAGUGUAGCGGUGAAAUGCAUAGAUAUUGUCAAGAACACCAAUUGCGAAGGCAGCUUACUAAGUUAUAACUGACGCUGAGGCACGAAAGCGUGGGGAGCAAACAGG